rnacentral:rRNA from 1 species
GUGGGGAAUUUUGGACAAUGGGCGAAAGCCUGAUCCAGCCAUACCGCGUGCGGGAAGAAGGCCUUCGGGUUGUAAACCGCUUUUGUCAGGGAAGAAAUACUUCGGGCUAAUACCCUGGGGUGAUGACGGUACCUGAAGAAUAAGCACCGGCUAACUACGUGCCAGCAGCCGCGGUAAUACGUAGGGUGCAAGCGUUAAUCGGAAUUACUGGGCGUAAAGCGUGCGCAGGCGGUUCUAUAAGACAGAUGUGAAAUCCCCGGGCUCAACCUGGGAACUGCAUUUGUGACUGUAGAGCUAGAGUACGGUAGAGGGGGAUGGAAUUCCGCGUGUAGCAGUGAAAUGCGUAGAUAUGCGGAGGAACACCGAUGGCGAAGGCAAUCCCCUGGACCUGUACUGACGCUCAUGCACGAAAGCGUGGGGAGCAAACAGG